AUAGAUGAUGAAGUCAGCACUGGGCUCUGAGUACAUUUGAUGCACAAAUAAUGCAGCCUAGAAAGCUAUUUCUGAUAU